AGUGUAUCAGUCUUUCUCUUGAGGGAUUUUGCAGCUACUGCUGUCAGUCUGUCUCUCAGUGCAGGAGUUUUUGGUGGAGGAACUAAACUGCAUGCAGGGAGUUUGGCCUCACCCACCCUCACAGUCCUGCCCCCCUCCAGUGAGGGGCUCCAGCAGGGGAAGGCCACACUUGUGUGUUUGGCCAACAAGGGCUUCCCCUCAGACUGGAGGCUGAGCUGGAAGGUGGGUGGGAGCAGCUGGACCUCAGGGGUUAGCCAGAGCCCCGGGCUUCUGCAGAAGGACGACGGCCUCUACAGCUGGAGCAGCACCCUGACCCUCCAGGAGGAGCAGUGGCUAAAGAACACAGUGACCUGUGAGGCCACCAAGGACUCCCAGCCUCCUGUCAGCCAGACACUGAGGAGAGAUCAGUGCUGAGCAGUGAGAACCACGCGGGGGUUUCAGCUGAUAGAGCUCCUCUCACUCUCAAAUGAGCUCAAACACGUCUGUGAUUAAUGCUGGAAUGAUGAUCUGAU